rnacentral:rRNA from 1 species
UUGACCUCGGAUCAGGUAGGGAUACCCGCUGAACUUAAGCAUAUCAAUAAGCGGAGGAAAAGAAACCAACAGGGAUUGCCUCAGUAACGGCGAGUGAAGCGGCAACAGCUCAAAUUUGAAAUCUGGCUCUUUCAGGGUCCGAGUUGUAAUUUGUAGAAGAUGCUUUGGGUGUGGCUCCGGUCUAAGUUCCUUGGAACAGGACGUCAUAGAGGGUGAGAAUCCCGUACGUGACUGGUUGCCUCCGCCCGUGUAAAGCUCUUUCGACGAGUCGAGUUGUUUGGGAAUGCAGCUCAAAAUGGGUGGUAAAUU